rnacentral:lncRNA from 1 species
AGCUGGAAUCAUAUACAAAUCCUCAUAAUUUACUGCUGGCUAGCAAGGACUGCGUGAUCAAAAACUUCUGCUUACCAGUCUUAUCCAGCUCAAUUAUUUUAAUGACCAAUACUAAUCUUCUGAACGUCUUAUUCCCAGUAAAUUUCGUCGUUCCUUUUGGUUCAUCAACUAUUAGAUUUACACAGAAGGGGCAAAAAAUGUUGAAAAACGUUUUGGAAGCAGAAAUUCAACAAACUACCACUGAGUGCAAAAAACAUUAAAUUUUGCAUAAGUGACUUGUUGCAUUGGACAAAAGACAUUCAAUGAUGGACUGUACAAACCUGUAAUUUAUCUACAAUCAACCACCACACACAGAGAGAAAGAAGAAAAAAGGAUGAACCCACAGAAUAUGUAAAAUGUGCUUGUAAAGAUCCUAAAAGGGCAAAGAAUGUCAGCAGAGUAAAAGCAGAAAAUGGGAAGGAAAUAUAGUAAGGCUAAUGAAAUUGAUUUGCAUUACCUUUCCAAUCAAUUCAAACAGGGAUUCAUUGAAAUUUGUACCAGUGAGAAUGACCUGAGGGAAACUGGUGGCGCCGAACCGGGAUCGAAAAUUUGGUGAUCCGCUUUCUCCCCCCGACACCUGAGACUCCAUGUAAAGCCUCGGAC